rfam:Bombyx mori DNA, contig: Bm_scaf62_contig29363, strain: p50T/Dazao, build 2, whole genome shotgun sequence.
UUAACUUAUAUUUGUAUGGAAUGGGAUCAUUUGCGUACGUUUGCCGCUAGGGGCGCUGUUCCAACUGCAUACAAAUAUGAGCUA